AGCAGCCGCGGUAAUUCCAGCUCCAAUAGCGUAUAUUAAAGUUGUUGCAGUUAAAAAGCUCGUAGUUGAAUUUCGGGAUCAAUACGUCGGUCGUGCUUCGGUACGUACUGGCGUAAUUGAUUUCUCCCUUCUGGCGAACCAUGAUGUCAUUAACUUGGUGUCAUGGGAAAUCAGGACUGUUACUUUGAAAAAUUAGAGUGUUUAAAGCAGGCUCACGCUUGAAUACAUUAGCAUGGAAUAAUGAAAUAGGACGUUCGAUCCUAUUUUGUUGGUUUUUAGGAUCAACGUAAUGAUUAAUAGGGAUAGUUGGGGGCAUUAGUAUUCAAUUGUCAGAGGUGAAAUUCUUGGAUUUAUUGAAGACUAACUACUGCGAAAGCAUUUGCCAAGGAUGUUUUCAUUAAUCAAGAACGAAAGUUAGGGGAUCGAAGACGAUCAGAUACCGUCGUAGUCUUAACCAUAAACUAUGCCGACUAGGGAUCGGAUGAUGUUAAUUUUUAAUGUACUCAUUCG
rnacentral:rRNA from 1 species